rnacentral:rRNA from 1 species
GACGAACGCUGGCGGCGUGCUUAACACAUGCAAGUCGAACGGAAAGGCCCUGCUUUUGUGGGGUGCUCGAGUUGCGAACGGGUGAGUAACACGUGAGUAACCUGCCCUUUACUUUGGGAUAACUUCAGGAAACUGGGGCUAAUACCUGAUAGUAGCUCCUGCUGCAUGGUGGGGGUUGGAAAGUUUCGGCGGUUGGGGAUGUAGUCGCGGCUUAUCAGCUUGUUGGUGGGGUAGUGGCUUACCAAGGCUUUGACGGGUAGCCGGCCUGAGAGGGUGACCGGCGACAUUGGGACUGAGAUACGGCCCAGAAGCCUACGGGAGGCAGCAGUGGGGAAUAUUGCACAAUGGGCGGAAGCCUGAUGCAGCAACGCCGCGUGCGGGAUGACGGCCUUCGGGUUGUAAACAGCUUUCGCCUGUGACGAAGCGUGAGUGGCGGUAAUGGGUAAAGAAGCACCGGCUAACUACGUG